rnacentral:rRNA from 1 species
GACGUAGGGCGCGAGCGUUGUCCGGAUUUAUUGGGCGUAAAGAGCUCGUAGGCGGCUUGAUAAGUCGGAUGUGAAACCUCCAGGCUCAACCUGGAGUCGCCAUCCGAUACUGUCAUGGCUAGAGUCCGGUAGGGGCCCACGGAACUCCUGGUGUAGCGGUGAAAUGCGCAGAUAUCAGGAGGAACACCAAUGCGAAGGCAGCACUCUGGGACGUGACUGACGCUGAGACGCGAAAAGCGUGGGGAGCAAACAGG